GAGAUAAAAAGAGAGGUGGUCCAAAAAGUACUAAUGCCACGUAUUUUUUAUGUCCAUACUAGAAGAUAAAAACAUCAUCUUUUAAAGAAUGGCACCCCACCCUUCUUUUAAGCUGGACUAUCAUGAUUGUGCUCACAAGAACAUGGAUCUAUCAUCCUUUAGUUGGAAAUAGAUUCCAUUAUGUUGUUUUUACCAUGUAGAUGGUGGAUUUGACCCACCAUCUAAAUAACAAGAUCAAUUAGAUUUUAUUAUUGGAACUGCAAAGAAACACAUUGAAGCUACAUUGAGGUGCGAUGGACCUAAGCAACAGCCUUGCCGUAUCCUCCUGUUUCACCACUGCAUCCUCUUUCUCCACCAAAACCGCUUCCACCAAUUCUCCAUACUCCGCUGCACCGUCCCUGGCGCCAACAAUAAAAGCCACCAAAGCAGCCUGAACCGGUCCCAUGCUAGGAUUAUAAGCUGCUGAUUCCAUAUAACUACCUUUAUAAACAUUCCCACGUGAAUCCAAUAAAGCCACACCUGAAGGUGAGUCACUGUACGGCGCAUGUGAUUCAUUCGCAGCUUUCAGUGCUGCAUCCUUCAGGUGUGGCUUUAUUGAAUUUGUGAUCGGACCUUCUAUUUCUAUAAAACACAAAUCAUUAUGACGAGGCUCUAGGAGUAGAGGAACAUGUUUAGGUAGAAGAUCAUGAGGACCAAAAGGAUGAGAAAGGAAUUCAGAAAGAGAUGUAAACUCAGUUUUCGCAGUUUUCUCCAAGUCAGAUGUUAUGAGGAGAGGAAUAUCUCCGGCGCCACGAAUUUCUUGAAGAAACUGGCGGCAAUGGCCACAAGGUGCAGCGGAGACUGCAAGGUAUUGAAUUUGAGUUUCUUUGUUAUGGGAGAGGUUUGUUAAGAGAAAUUGUUCUGCAUGGAUGGUAUGGUGAAAAGGAAGGUUAGGGAAUUCGACAUUGACACCGAUGAAGAUUCGACCGGAGAUUCCAACUGCGACGGCCGCAACAUGGAAUUUGGAGAUAGGGACACGGGCUAAUGGUUGGGAUGAUUUGACAAUGGUGGGGAGGAGUUGGGUUAGGGUUAGGUUUGUUGAUUGGGUUAAUGAUUUUGCUUCUGAUACUUCUAUUAUGAAUUUAGGUUCUUCCAUUUUUAUUUUCUUUCUCUUCUUCACACUUUUUUAUAACUAUUUUGAGUUAUGGUGUGUGAGUGUUUAGAGAAAUGAGGAGUGGAGGAGGAAGAGAAAUGAUGGUUUUAGAUGCUAAUUUAUAGAAUGGAUGAAGGGGUGAUAUGCAAGCUAUUAUUAUCCAAUAAUUUGA
rnacentral:lncRNA from 1 species